rnacentral:rRNA from 1 species
UACGGAGGGUGCAAGCGUUAUCCGGAUUUACUGGGUUUAAAGGGUGUGUAGGCGGGCUUUUAAGUCAGUGGUGAAAUCUCCGGGCUCAACCCGGAAACUGCCAUUGAUACUAUUAGUCUUGAAUACUGUUGAGGUGGGCGGAAUAUGUCAUGUAGCGGUGAAAUGCAUAGAUAUGACAUAGAACACUAAUUGCGAAGGCAGCUCACUAAGCAGUCAUUGACGCUGAGGCACGAAAGCGUGGGGAUCAAACAGG